rnacentral:lncRNA from 1 species
CAAGAACUUUGGUUAAGACCAGAUAUUGAUUGUAACAAUAGCCAUAUAUCAUAUGGAAUCCAGACAACAAGAAACCAUAUAAUCUACAAAAACCACAGAGCUCUUUUCACUAACUCGCUCAUGAAUCUCACAGGCAGAAACAACAGUGAUCAAGCUCCACUUUUAAUGUAAUUUAGAUUGAAAUCAAUCUGUGGCAUUUGAAGAAAACAUGAGCAAUUCAUAAUAAUACUAAAACAAACAAUAUCCUGAUAUAAAACCACAUGAAAGUACACAAAAUAAAAUCAAACGGUAAACUGAAGAUCGGCUAUAACUUGAACAGAAGACCAAGUAAUACAACCUUGCCGGUUGUUUCUCUUGGUACAAGCCACAUGGGAAUGCCACUUGAAUUGCAAACUACAAAUUAAUAGUACCAAAAUUUAUGAAACACAAACAAAUAACACCUAAAGAUACACGUGGAGAUUCCGAAAUGUAGCAGGAAGAAUGUUUCACGUCUCCCAGUAUAUGGAUUAGCUGGCCGAGCUGCAGGUGUUAACACCAUCCUUGCAGUCCUUUAGUGAGAUCGUUGAAGGUCUCGAUCUGUUUUUUUUUUUCCCCCUCAAAAACACUUCUGUAUCCCAGGAACUCCUCAUGUAACCAUCAAUUCAAAACUGAAACCCCAUUGGUUAAGUUUUGUAUUUCAGAGUACCAUUCACUGUUUCUCAUCCCAUAGGUCUUUAUAUUCAUCAAGAAAGUGAGUGGAGUACUUGUCUUUCGAAAGUCGAAGACGAAGUGUCUGGUUCAUCUGUGGGCAUGUACAGGUUCCUUCCAUCAUCAAUUUUAUCCGUAAGGUCGAGAGAAGAGCUUCAGGGGAGUAUCAUAUCAAGAAUCGGCCAAGCUCCUUGUUCCUCGCCUUCUCUCCUCUCAACAAUGUGAACAGAGUCAAAAUCCCAAUUCAACUUUGACGCAAUUGCAGACACAAUGUCCAUCAACCGCUUAGACUUCCAUAUCAAUGCCAAGGUCGUUGCACAACUGAUUCUGUCUCCCUUCACAUACCCUAUACCAGUAAUUAUCUGCUCGACAUCAACCAAACUUCCUCAUAAUCAAAGCAUCCUUAACCCAGUUUGCGUCAUUGGAGUGAUCCUAAAAUCCUCCACAAGAUGGAGGCUCAUCCAGCUUUUCUGGUGGCCAUUUCCAUUCCAAUGACCAAAUUGAAGACCCUGGCCAACACAGAAGCCCACUCUUUCAAUGCUCGAGUCAAAGUAAAACCUGAAGUCUUUCCCUUCUUCAUCUGACUGGCGAUGUAGUUAAUUGAAGACAAAAACAAUACUCAAUCCAUAACCAAGCGUCUAUCAAGUACUGAUCUCUUCACCCAAAGCCCAUGAAACUCCUAAGGUAAUGAUUCAUGCUCUUGCAUCUAUCUCCACCUCCAACAUAAAUCAAAUAUCGACCCCGGCUAAAUGAACCUCUGAUUCAAACCACAGUAGAGAUCUUUACAGCUUCCUUACAGCUUCUUCCCCAACUUCAGGCAGAGAAACAGGCUGCGAUUCUUGCUUCUCAGGCUUCUUCGCAACCCCUGGGUUUCUGAUUCUUCUUCCUCUUCCUUUCCUUCCUCCUCUUCCCUUCUUCGUUCCCUCCAGAAUGUCUUCCCGAUACGAACCACAUUAAGAGUGCAAUUCUCAGAUUUGAUCACAAAACUCCGGUAAUCCUUAAUAAAAACUCGCCGCAGUUCUUUCCUUCCUUGGGCCUAAACCUCCUGCCUUGGCAGACUCUCAUCUCGACCACGAACAGGUUUACCAACGGUAGAAAUGUAUAUCCUUAAAUUGUUCUAUAGCAGCCUUCAUCAUCAAAUGGUAUACCUCCGGGUCAGUGCAGUCAAUGGGUUUNNNNNNNNNNNNNNNNNNNNNNNNNNNNNNNNNNNNNNNNNNNNNNNNNNNNNNNNNNNNNNNNNNNNNNNNNNNNNNNNNNNNNNNNNNNNNNNNNNNNUUCUGCUUGCACAACCAAACGAUAAGAUUUUAGCACAUGAGUGUUAAAACAAUUUCUGCUCUAAAAAUUUUGCAUGAAGUAUAUGAGUGAGGCAUCUUAUGUCAUUGGCAUUAAGAUCCUAAAAACAGAUUUCAAGGCCUUUGGUCUGGUCUCAAGGAAACCUAUAUUCAACAAGGUUCUACAGUGAGAUUUCGAAUGAAAAAUUUUCAUCAAGUAUGUUUGUAAAGGGACAUGUUCAUUGGAACCAGUACCCGAAGAAUGAUUUUGAAAGGAACAAUGAAAAAACAUUCCUAAUGCUCCUAUUAUUGUGAAGUCAUAUGCGUAGGUCUGUACAAGAACUAACAUUGAUUUGCCCUAAUGGGAUAUUAGGAAGAUAUCCAGAUCAACUCAUGGUGUAGACCACUGGAGAGUACAAAGAAAGUGAGGAGGUACCUUAAGGGACCAAGGAUUACAUGACUUAUGUAUAGACGGAAUGAAAACUGCGAGGUAAUUGGGGGGGGGGGGGGGACUACUCUGAUUCAGAAUUGCUAUGAUAUGU